rnacentral:rRNA from 1 species
AGUGCCUACGGGGGGCAGCAGUGGGGAAUAUUGCCCAAUGGGGGGAACCCUGAUGCAGCAAUGCCGCGUGGGUGAAGAAGCACUCCGGUGCGUAAAGCCCUGUCAGCAGGGAAGAAAAUGACAGUACCUGGACAAGAAGCCCCGGCUAACUACGUGCCAGCAGCCGCGGUAAUACGUAGGGGGCAAGCGUUAUCCGGAUUUACUGGGUGUAAAGGGAGCGUAGACGGCAGCGAAAGUCUGGAGUGAAAUGCCGGGGCCCAACCCCGGA